rnacentral:siRNA from 1 species
UUCUUUUCAGCUCGGUACG